rnacentral:snoRNA from 1 species
UCGUCAGAAUCUUUCCCAUUCCUUGCAGUACAGUGCGGGCCUGGGGACACGUGGUGCUAACAGCAAAGCAGAGUAAAUCCAGACUUCUCUCUCAUUGAGGGCGUCUUUCUAAUGCUGCAACAGCU